GGAUCCUCAUCUUCAAGACGUAAUGAGACUGAAUUGUCCGGCGUAUUGUGGAUUUUGUUCUCCACACAAUAAUACACAAGGAACAGCAAGUUCAGUAAUUGGAUAAUACACAUAUUCUGUGUUAGUGU